rnacentral:rRNA from 1 species
GACGAACGCUGGCGGCGUGCCUAAUACAUGCAAGUAGGACGCAGUUGCGAACGUGUGAGUAACGCGUAGGUCACUGCCUAUUAGAGGGUGAUAACUAUUGGAAACGAUAGCUACUACCGCAUACUAGUAGAUUUACCUGCUUUGUAUUAGCUAGUAGGUAGGGUAAUGGCCUACCUAGGCGACGAUACAUAGCCGACCUUGGGGGGUGAUCGGCCAAACUGGGACUGAGGCACAGCUCAGACCUCUACGGGAGGGAGCAGUAGGGGAUCUUCGGCAAUGGGGGGAAACCUGAACGAGCAAAGCCGCGGGAGAGAAGAAGGGUUUCGGAUCGUAAAGCUCUGUUGUUAAGGAAGCGGUACUUAAACAGAAAGGGACGGCUAACUACGUGCCAGCAGCCGCGGUAAUAC